CGGGGGAAAAGAAACCAACUGGGACACCUUAGUAACGGCGAGUGAAGCGGUAAAAGCUCAAAUCUGAAAUCUGGUACUUUCAGUGCCCGAGUUGUAAUUUGUAGAAUUUGUCUUUGAUUAGGUCCUUGUCUAUGUUCCUUGGAACAGGACGUCAUAGAGGGUGAGAAUCCCGUUUGGCGAGGAUACCUUUUCUCUGUAAGACUUUUUCGAAGAGUCGAGUUGUUUGGGAAUGCAGCUCAAAGUGGGUGGUAAAUUCCAUCUAAAGCUAAAUAUUGGCGAGAGACCGAUAGCGAACAAGUACAGUGAUGGAAAGAUGAAAAGAACUUUGAAAAGAGAGUGAAAAAGUACGUGAAAUUGUUGAAAGGGAAGGGCAUUUGAUCAGACAUGGUGUUUUUUGCAUGCACUCGCCUCUCGUGGGCUUGGGCCUCUCAAAAAUUUCCCUGGGCCAACGUCAAUUCUGGCGCAGGAUACAUCAUUAAGAAUGUAGCUACUUCGGUAGUGUUAUGGCUUUUUGGAAUACUGUUAGGCGGGAUUGAGGACUGCGCUUCGGCUAGGAUGGUGGCUAAUGGUAAAUGCUGCCCGCUGA
rnacentral:rRNA from 1 species